rnacentral:lncRNA from 1 species
GUCCAUCUAAUAACAGAGAUGGCUACUAAGUGACUAAAUGGGCAGAUAGUAUAUACUGCAUGGAUAUGAUAAAUGAAGAUUUGAUUCAUGUCCUGGGUGGGACAGAAUGGGAUGUCAAGAGAUAUCAUCACAACACUCAGACUGGUGCACAAUUUAAAACUUAGGAAUUAUUUUUUUCUGAAAUUUUGCAUUUAAUGUUUUGGAUAUGGCUGACCAUGGGUAACUGAAGCCAAAGAAAUUGAAACCUUGGAGGAGGGGGCUGCUGUAGUCUGUUCUGUGGGCUCAGAUAAUAUCUCUCUGGAAUACAGCCACAAUCACUUCCUUGCUGCUUUUUGCUGCUGGCAGAUCCCCGAGUCUUAUUCUUUCCUGGCUCCAGGAUGGGUAUUAUUUGGCCAGCUGGUUUUCAGUCCCAUAGACCUAAAGUGGCCCAUGGCAGCUGACUUUCCAGGCUUCCUUUUCGAUAAUCAUGCUCUUUGGGCUGCUAGGUUUACCAGGAUUUGUCCGUGCUGGGAUAUAUAUGGGCAGCCUGUCAAGUGCCUCUUUCCAAAACCUGCUAUAGAUUGGAAGGCCAGGAACCUCUGUCUUGAAUAUCCUCAUUUGAAAAUGGGACACCUGCUGGCUUGUCUUGACCUCCUGGCUCUGGCCUUUCUUUUCCUUACCACAAUUCACUCAGGACCAGCAAGAAGCAGGUCCUCCCUUACUAUGAACAUUCCAUGGGUUUGUCAUUUGAGGUUGAUUGUUGCUAUGCUACAGGCAGGGUGAAAAGGCUGGGUAUACAUUCUCAGAGCAACUGCUCAGCCUGAAAAGCUAGCUCUGGCUGCAAAAUCAUCCUUUUGGUCCAGAAUACAUAUCUCCUUGGUCUUUGUUUUUCUUCUAUAACCCUUAUCUUUUCCCUUGGCGGAGGAAUUCUCUAAGACCACAGCAAAGAGAAAGGCAAAAGAUAAAAGCACAUUAAUGCUCUUUAAAAUUCUAUCUUUGCAAUGUUACAUUGCAUCCAGUGCAGCUUCUGGUUAAAACCCAAUGAAUAUUUGUUGAAUGAAUGAAUAAUUAUGAUGAAUGAUUUCUUUUUAAACAAAUAGACACCCCUUAACAUUUUGGUCAACAGUAGACCACAUGUUGAUAGUGGUCCCAUAACAUCAUAUCACGUGUAACAUCUAGCUAUCUCGGUUUGUGUAAAUAAAUACACUCUAUGAUGUUCACAGAAUGAUGAAUUAUCUAAUGAUACACUUUUUACAUUCCCCAUAUUAAGUGAUGCAUAACUGUAUGUAUUUCUCAAGCAGAUCACUGGCAAUUCAUAACAGACAUCGUAUAGCCAUUUUACCAUGAAGAAAUUAUAAAUCUUUGGUUAAUUGUCAAAUAAGUAACUCUGUAGUCGACAGAAAAGAGUUUUCUCUUUUCUCCAUGAAGAGCAGUUAUAAGAAUAAUAAAUUUUUUACCAAAGCAAAAAUUGUACUGGAGAAAGCUCAACAGGCGAAGAAGACUUUGUUCUGGCUACUGAAGUAGAGGAGAAAGACCAGAACUGAGUGUUACUCAACUCUCCUAAAACAAAGAACAGAAAAGAUAUUGGGCAACAGUUUCUAUCUGUAGAAGUCCUUCAGAGCCCCAGUCUCAUUGACAGGAAGACAUUAACCUUGGUUCUUCCCACUUGAAAUAAUUUGCAUCUGAAUUAUAAGUUUCCAGAAAUGGAAUUAUCAAAGUGAGCCUACAUAAAAGCCAAGAGGUCUAAGGAAGUUUGUAAGGUGAUGGACUAAGCUUUACUUUUCUAUGUUCAAUGGAUGCUGACAAAAGUUGGCUUUGUGCAGUGUUUCUAUGAGGCAAUGAGGCCAAGCGUUUUUAUUCCCAAGGAUGAAAUGGAAAUGAUGGAGUCAAUAAGGUGAGGCACACUGGCAACACCUAGUAUGUUUUAUUGGCUCCCACUUCCUUCCCCAUCCACCUGCUGUGUACCCCAAGGCCACAGUCUGUUUGAACUGUGAAAUUCAGGUGUG